rnacentral:rRNA from 1 species
UACGGGGGGGGCAGGCGUUGUUCGGAAUUACUGGGCGUAAAGGGCGCGUAGGCGGUCUACUAAGUCGAAUGUGAAAACUCUGGGCUUAACCCAGAGCCUGCAUCCGAUACUGGCAGGCUAGAGUCUUGGAGGGGGAAGCGGAAUUCCCGGUGUAGCGGUGAAAUGCGUAGAUAUCGGAAGGAACGCCGGUGGCGAAAGCGGCAUGCUGGGUCCCUUCUGACGCUGAGGCGCGAAAGCCAGGGGAGCAAACGGG